rnacentral:rRNA from 1 species
AACGAACGCUGGCGGCAUGCCUAACACAUGCAAGUCGAACGAGACCUUCGGGUCUAGUGGCGCACGGGUGCGUAACACGAGGGAAUCUGCCCUUUGCUUCGGAAUAACAGUUAGAAAUGACUGCUAAUACCGGAUGAUGUCGAAAGCCCAAAGAUUUAUCGGCAAAGGAUGAGCCCGCGUAGGGUUAGGUAGUUGGUGGGGUAAAGGCCUACCAAGCCGACGAUCCUUAGCUGGUCUGAGAGGAUGAUCAGCCACACUGGGACUGAGACACGGCCCAGACUCCUACGGGAGGCAGCAGUGGGGAAUAUUGGACAAUGGGCGAAAGCCUGAUCCAGCAAUGCCGCGUGAGUGAUGAAGGCCUUAGGGUUGUAAAGCUCUUUUACCAGGGAUGAUAAUGACAGUACCUGGAGAAUAAGCUCCGGCUAACUCCGUGCCAGCCGCCGCAGUAAAAC